rnacentral:rRNA from 1 species
UACGUAGGGGGCAAGCGUUGUCCGGAAUCAUUGGGCGUAAAGAGCGUGUAGGCGGUUCGGUAAGUCGGCUGUGAAAGUCCAGGGCUCAACCCUGGGAUGCCGGUCGAUACUGCCGGACUAGAGUUCGGAAGAGGCGAGUGGAAUUCCCGGCGUAGCGGUGAAAUGCGCAAAUAUCGGGAGGAACACCUAUGGCGAAGGCAGCUCGCUGGGACGUUACUGACGCUGAGACGCGAAAGCGUGGGGAGCAAACAGG